rnacentral:lncRNA from 1 species
AAAGAACUUAAUGACCUUUGAUAUGUUUUUCUAUCAUUCUUUUCAUAGUUAGGGAACUUGAUAAGGAUAGUUUGGUUGCAAUGCGUAUUCCAUCCAAUUCAAUGAGUUAAGGAAAAUCUGAUGGUUAAUUUGUGCUAUCACGGUUAACUUGGGGUGUUGUCAUUCAUAGUCUAAAUGAAUAAUAACUGGAAAUUGGUUCGUAUGCAUAUGUCAUGUGUAGAGAAGGACCCUCUAACUAGCCUUUCACCUUUUUCAAUUCACCAAAUUCGUUUUUAUAAAGUGUUUUAUGCAAAGUUUCUGUUUUAAGUUUUAAAUUCGUCAAAAACAAUCCCCCAUUCAUUAAGUCUUGUUAGUUGAGUCAUAAUCUGUUUUCUUUUAAUCUUUUGAGUUAAGUUAAGUUUAGUUUCAUCAAAAUCACUUGUUAGGUCUAGAAUUGAGUCUUUUUUAUUGUUUGUUGUUGUUUUGAGUCAGUUUUGAGUCUAUAAAGUCUAAUUUAGUGUUUUUAAGUCGUCUUUGUGUUGAUUAGCAUCCCUAGUUAAUCCUAUGUCUAGAACGAUCCCUACUUACAUCUUUACUACAAUUGUCAACAAUAGGGUUUAAUUUGUGUGUCAAGUUAAUUCUCACAUUAGGAAUAUGAUGCAACAAACUGGACUUCAACUCGAACUCUUUGGUCUUGCCUUGAGCUGCCGUGGGAUAUUGAAUGCAUAGGGGUACGGCAUUGUCCAAUC